AGAGGUGCUUGCACCUCUGGCGUCGAGCGGCGGACGGGUGAGUAAUGCUUAGAAAUCUGCCGAUAGGUGGGGGACAACAGUUGGAAACGACUGCUAAUACCGCAUAAUACCUACGGGUCAAAGUGGGGGACCUUCGGGCCUCACGCCUAUUGAUGAGUCUAAGUGGGAUUAGCUAGUUGGUGAGGUAAUGGCUCACCAAGGCGACGAUCCCUAGCUGGUCUGAGAGGAUGAUCAGCCACACUGGGACUGAGACACGGCCCAGACUCCUACGGGAGGCAGCAGUGGGGAAUAUUGGACAAUGGGCGCAAGCCUGAUCCAGCCAUGCCGCGUGUGUGAAGAAGGCCCUAGGGUUGUAAAGCACUUUCAGCGAGGAGGAAAGCAGUUAACUUAAUACGUUAAUUGUGUGACGUUACUCGCAGAAGAAGCACCGGCUAACUCCGUGCCAGCAGCCGCGGUAAUACGGAGGGUGCGAGCGUUAAUCGGAAUUACUGGGCGUAAAGGGCUCGCAGGCGGUUGUUUAAGUCAGAUGUGAAAGCCCCGGGCUCAACCUGGGAACUGCAUUUGAAACUGAACAACUAGAGUACGAGAGAGGUGGGUAGAAUUUCAGGUGUAGCGGUGAAAUGCGUAGAGAUCUGAAGGAAUACCAAUGG
rnacentral:rRNA from 1 species